GUUGGACCUGGUGGUGGAUGUGGUGAUGGACAUGGUGGUGGACCCAGUGUGUGAUGUGGUGUUGAAUAGGGUGGUGGGCGUGGUGGGGGACGUGGUGUUGGACCUGGUGGUGGGCGUGGUGUUGGAUGUGGUGGUGUAUGUGGUGUUGGAUGUGGUGGUUUAUGUGGUGUUUGAUGUGGUGUUGGACCUGGUGGUGAAUGUGGUGUUGGAUGUGGUGGUAUAUGUGGUCUUGGAUGUGGUGGUGUAUGAGGUGUUGGAUGUGGUGGUAUAUGCGGUGUUGGACCUGGUGGUGUAUGAGGUGUUGGAUUUGGUCGUGGACCUGGUGGUGUAUGUGGUGUAUGUGGUGUUGCACGUAGUGGUGUAUGAGGUGUUGGAUGUGGUGUUGGAUGUGGUGGUGGAUGUGGUGGUGGACCUGGUGUUGGAUGUGGUGGUAUAUGCGUUGUUGGAUGUGGUCGUGGACCUGGUGGUGUAUGAGGUGUUGGAUGUGGUGGUAUAUGCGUUGUUGGAUGUGGUCGUGGACCUGGUGGUGUAUGAGGUGUUGGAUGUGGUCGUGGACCUGGUGGUGUAUGUGGUGUUGGACGUAGUGGUGUAUGAG
ensembl:lncRNA